GUACUCCUGUUUGAUUCGUAAUAACUUCUAAACAAGUAAAGUUUUUAAAGAGAAAUAACUUGCAUUAAAUAGAGGAAGGACUAACUUAGAUUUUGAUAUAUUACAGUUGUAUUUAACUUAAAAAUUCGCGGAGAUAUUAAUGUUAAAAAUGGGGAGCAUAUUUUGGAAUGUGUCUAAAAUUAGCGAAAAUCGGCAUAUCAAAUAUUAACUCCAGCGUUUGUUUGCUUAAUGACAUAUUAGGCUAACUUGUAUUUCAGCAAAUUAUCGUUAAGGUUUGUAAGGGAUAUGGCGUAGAUUUAGACAUCUUACAUGUAAGUCUUAGCUCAUUGUUUCCUGAAAUAUGAACGUUCGAAAUUAUGCAAGUAUUUAAUAUUAGGUCUUUGCAAACUUAAAUGUACAUGAAAGACUGACCAUGGAAGGUAGGCGCUUAAAUUUUUCGUAUUCUUAAAUAAGGAACACACGCGAAUUUCGGACGAAUGAAUCUUGCUUGUAUUUUGUAGAUAUAAUAAUACUUUGUUUCAU